GAGGGCGCUUAAUUAUUUUGACCCUAAUUAUACAAAAUAAUUGAAAUUCCAAAUUCUAUUCGCGCCUCUCUCUCAAACAGAUCGUGCGCUGAAGAGAAAUCCCCAAAUUCCUAGGGCACAGUAGCAGUUCGUCCUUCCUCCGUCUCCCUCAACGGCCUCCAUCCCCACCAGUCCGUGCGUCACAGUCCUCCAAGCCCUCCCUCGUCCGUUCCCAACGAUAGUAUAAAAAUUUGUUGACUUGCUGCUUGAAUAAUGUGUGCUGCUAUAGUUCCAUGGAGUCUCUCCCCAAGCUAGCGAUCUGAGUGUAUAAACUUAGCCAUGAAAAAAUAUUAGCAGCUCUUUUAUGCCAUGGGGGGAGUACCGCAUAUUACAUGUAAGCUAGCUCUUUAACUCUCUCUUCUUCGAGCAUGCCGUUAUUAACAUCUUUAAAGUGCUUGCAAGCAUGAUGCAGUUUGAUUAUUUCCUGAAAAUAUGUUCUUCACUACUGAAACUAAACUCUUGUUGCUGUAAAUAUUUGUACUAGGAAAGAGGAGGUUGAUUUGAGUGCUUGAAACUGUGAUAUAAGUGCAGGAAACUGGUGUUACAUGCCAAAAUUUGGUGGUGUUCGCUGAAAAUGUGAAUCAGACAUAUGAGUCUUAGUUGCUGAAAAUGAGAAUCGGGUGAAAGAAACACUACUCCAAUAAUUGAUGUCAAAAACAUCUUGAAGUGAUUGGCGAUGAAGUAAAAAUGUUUAGGUGAGGAUUGUAGAUGCCCUACUGCAAGUGUUCAUUUGUUUAAGUGGCGGAACAUUGGUAUAGAUAGUAACUUAAGAUAGGUUUCAUAAAUUUGAUAUAGCCGGCAAUACUUCUUAGUGUUCCUUGCUUCAACCUUGCCCGUUCAUCUCGUUAUUUGAUAUUCUUUUGACUCAUAGGUGGUGGGCAGAAUUAUGCUGUAAACAGAUCUUGCUACCUACAGACACUGGUAGAAUUAUCUUUUAUGUUUUUACCUAUCUCCUUACUUCAAAUAUGGAGAACUCAAGACAAUUGACCAAAGAAAUGUGCUCCAUCACUACUGAGUAUGGUUGGUGUUCUACCUUGUGGUUGUACUAUCUUUAAGGCAAGCUCAUGGUAUUUGUUGUUUUACUAUUUUCUUGUUGAGAAUCGACUAAGAUAGCCUUAAUCUCAGCACCUUCGCUAUUCUAACGUAUGUCCUAUGUUGUUUAAUGCAGCAUAUAUGCGCUGGGCAACGCAAACUCUUUUGGGACAUUGAAGGAAGCUGGACGGACAAACUAAUUGUUAGGGUCAUUCAUUGUAUUUAGUACCUUUUUUUUUGUAGCUUUCUUUUGAAAGAGGGAGUGAACACGCAGAUUAUGUGUGAGGACAUUUAGUGAAUUUCAAUCUAUUCUUUCUUGAUUUUGUGAUGAUUAAUAAAGUUUUGAAUUAUUAA